GCCUGUGUGGUGCAAUGGUUUGAGUGCUGGACUAUGACUCUGGAAACCAGGUUCGAAUCCCUGGUCAGCCA
rnacentral:tRNA from 1 species